AGUAACACGUGGACAACCUACCCUUGAAUCUGGGAUAAUCCUCCGAAAGGGGGGUCUAAUACCGGAUAAGACCACAUCAUGGCAUCGUGAAGUGGUCAAAGGCGGAGCAAUCUGCCGUUUAGGGAUGGGUCCGCGUUCCAUUAGCUUGUUGGUGAGGUAACGGCUCACCAAGGCUCCGAUGGAUAGCCGGCCUGAGAGGGCGAUCGGCCACACUGGGACUGAGAUACGGCCCAG
rnacentral:rRNA from 1 species